GACAGAGGGUGCAAACGUUGUUCGGAUUUACUGGGCGUAAAGCGCGUGUAGGCGGCUUUGCAAGUCGGAUGGGAAAGCCCACGGCUCAACCGUGGAAGUGCAUCCGAAACUGCAUGGCUCGAGUCUCGGAGAGGAAGGUGGAAUGCUUGGUGUAGAGGUGAAAUUCGUAGAUAUCAAGCAGAACACCUGCGGCGAAGGCGGCCUUCUGGACGAUGACUGACGCUGAGACGCGAAAGCGUGGGAAGCAAACAGG
rnacentral:rRNA from 1 species